CCCCGAAAGGUUCCAACAAUGCAGUGCUGCUGUUUGGCAGUGAGGUCCGCUGGUGUUUAAGCUGGCAGGGGGAAUGGCCUAGAGCCCCUGAGUCUGUAACCUGGCUAUGGAGUUGCAUUAUUUAAAACCUCCCUUGCAGUGAUUCAUGAAACCUAAGUACGAGCCGGUGAACGUGGUCUGCAAACACCGUCGAUGGCCGGCAGCCCUCACCAGCCAACGUUGACACUGGAUCUCUUAAAUUGUUAAAAUCUGGCCUUGGAGUGUGGUGUGCAAGAAAGGCAGGCCCCUUCCCGUCCGGGCCGUGGCGCUCCUCGUCUCCACCAGCAGGGGUCCCCAUUGAGUCACAGGUCCUGCGCUAAGCUCCACGGGAGUCGCCGGACACUUUAAGGAUGACUGCACUUUGAAUGGGGGUGUAUCUGCCUCUGAUUCUUGCCUAACCAUGACAUGAGAGGGAAGAAAAGUAGCUGCCUGUUUCCAGCAUGACUCAUUAUAAACAAACGGAGGACAGAUUGACUGCCUCUUAUCAGAGCCCGAGUAUGUGCCCCAGGACUGCGGUGAUUGGCUCAGGGAUGGCCAUAUGACCCAGUCAAAGCCCAUGAAAUACAAGAAGACAUGUCUUGGUACCUUCUGGCCAAAAGAAAUUUCCUGUCUCUUCCUUGGAGGCUACCAGUAUGAGGAUGUGAGGUCUAGACCCACUGCUGUAUUUGUGACCAUGGGGGAAGAUUCUGGAACUGCUAAAGACUGUUGGGGAGCACAGCAUGGUGCCUGAGGAUGGAGCCAACACCACGGAAGAUGGAGCUGAGAGAUGGAGAGAACUGAAUCUUUGGGACAGUAUCAAACCCCUUGAUCAAACCUCACCUGAAGCCUGACCUUUUUGCUAGGCCUUUGAGUGGCCUCUGCCAAUUCAACAUUCGUUAUUACAUAACCCCGUUUAAGUAGGGAUUUCUGAGUCUUGCAACAUAAAGAACCGAUUUGAUGCAAACCUUAGAAUAGGUACCCAGCAGUGCCACGGGCCUCCUCUGCACCCCGGGGCCUCUAGAAGGAAAUGAGCCUAUUCCAGAACCCAAAUAAAAGGUCUCACCUCCCACUUGUCUAUUUCGGGGUUUCCAUGCCUCCCGUCUCCAUAGCACUGUGACUCUCUUGGAAAAGCAGAGGAACCAGAGAAGGAGAAUGGGGCCUGUUUCCAGGCUGCGUUGCCAUGCUGAAUGGCUGGGGAGGCUGGGGGGCUGGUGAGAGGCAGUUCCACGCUUGACAUUUCAGGGUAGAGAUAACAGGGUAAAAAUAACCCCCCAAGCGCCUGCAGCCGAGCUCACUUCUCUCCUUCACAGUUCUUAUCUCUCCUCGCUUUGGGGACAGAAAGGUUCCUUUCAGGUCACGCUGGGCCCGUCUCUGCGGCACCCGGGUUGGGGGGGG